rnacentral:rRNA from 1 species
AACGUAGGUGGCGAGCGUUAUCCGGAUUUACUGGGCGUAAAGGGUGUGCAGGCGGGCUGUUAAGUGGUGUAUGAAAUCGCCGGGCUCAACCGGGCGAGGUUAUGCCAGACUGGCAGUCUAGAGAGCGAGAGAGGGACGUGGAAUUCCGGGUGUAGUGGUGAAAUGCGUAGAGAUCCGGAGGAACCCCAGAGGCGAAGGCGGCAUCCUGGACCGGCAUUGACGCUGAGGAGCGAAAGCCAGGGGAGCAAACGGG